UACCAGUAGCAGUUAAGCUGCCAGCAUGAUCUUGUCUUCCUCUCUAGCUUGUUCUUAUAUAUAAGAUUAUAUGAUCAUAGCUUAGAGAGAGAGACUAGGUCAUGCUGGUAGUUUCACCUGCUAAUGAU
rnacentral:pre_miRNA from 1 species